rnacentral:lncRNA from 1 species
CAGGUCUUGAGGCCCCCAGAGAAGGCACUGAUUUGCUGGGAUGUCCUAGACCUAGACCAGAGUGUAGAUCCAAUAAUCCAGAGCCUCUGGGGAAUGGGGUCUUAACUCUGGUGACUCUGGUGACCUUUGAGGUCAGAUGUGGCAGUGGCUCCCAUGUUCAUCUAGUCCUUCCACAUCUCUCCUUUGCCUGUGCAGCUGUGUAUUCAUCUGGCACCUGGGCCCAGAGAUUACCACCUGCAUGAAGCAGCACUUGCUGGAGAUCAACCACCAGGAGCAGCAGCGGCAACAGCAACCCAAGGACAGGAAGUGGGGCAGCCACCCCAGGCAGGAGACAUAUGCAUCCAUGCCCAGUGAGAUUCUGUCCUUAAGCCCUGGAGAGCAGACAGAAGAUGAGAUGGAAGAGGAGUGUGAACCAGAGGAGCUGCUGAAAACACCGUCCAAAGAGAGCUUGGAUCCAGGUUGGGGAAAGGGCCUG